UACGAAGGGGGCUAGCGUUGCUCGGAAUCACUGGGCGUAAAGCGCACGUAGGCGGAUUGCUAAGUCAGGGGGUGAAAUCCUGGAGCUCAACUCCAGAACUGCCUUUGAUACUGGCGAUCUUGAGUCCGGGAGAGGUGAGUGGAACUGCGAGUGUAGAGGUGAAAUUCGUAGAUAUUCGCAAGAACACCAGUGGCGAAGGCGGCUCACUGGCCCGGUACUGACGCUGAGGUGCGAAAGCGUGGGGAGCAAACAGGG
rnacentral:rRNA from 1 species